AACUUAUCGAGAGAAGUGGAGGGACUGGCCUGUUGAUACUUCGGCAACAUGAUGAUGCGUGUGCCAAUUCCAGUAGCAUAAAUGAAUGCUAGAAGAUAAGAA
rnacentral:ncRNA from 2 species